rnacentral:rRNA from 1 species
GUCGAACGAACUCUGGUAUUGAUUGGUGCUUGCAUCAUGAUUUACAUUUGAGUGAGUGGCGAACUGGUGAGUAACACGUGGGAAACCUGCCCAGAAGCGGGGGAUAACACCUGGAAACAGAUGCUAAUACCGCAUAACAACUUGGACCGCAUGGUCCGAGUUUGAAAGAUGGCUUCGGCUAUCACUUUUGGAUGGUCCCGCGGCGUAUUAGCUAGAUGGUGAGGUAACGGCUCACCAUGGCAAUGAUACGUAGCCGACCUGAGAGGGUAAUCGGCCACAUUGGGACUGAGACACGGCCCAAACUCCUACGGGAGGCAGCAGUAGGGAAUCUUCCACAAUGGACGAAAGUCUGAUGGAGCAACGCCGCGUGAGUGAAGAAGGGUUUCGGCUCGUAAAACUCUGUUGUUAAAGAAGAACAUAUCUGAGAGUAACUGUUCAGGUAUUGACGGUAUUUAACCAGAAAGCCACGGCUAACUACGUGCCAGCAGCCGCGGUAAUACGUAGGUGGCAAGCGUUGUCCGGAUUUAUUGGGCGUAAAGCGAGCGCAGGCGGUUUUUUAAGUCUGAUGUGAAAGCCUUCGGCUCAACCGAAGAAGUGCAUCGGAAACUGGGAAACUUGAGUGC